rnacentral:lncRNA from 1 species
CCUUAGUGUUAUGUUUGCUGUAACUUUAUAAGUUUUUCCUUCUUUUCAAUUGUUCGAAAUCAGAAUUUUUGCGGUGAGACAUAAUUGUAACCUCCCUUAGAGUUUUUUUUUUUUUUUUUUCAUCCUCCCAUGUCUAUAUUGUCUCAUCUAUGUAGCUGAACUCAUCUUCUGAAUGAAUGAAACAGAUAGUACGUUAUUAUUUUCUCAAAUUUUUUUUUUGAAAAAUAAUAAACUAUCUAUUUUAAAUUUUUUUAAAAAAUAUAAGUAUUGAUCAACUGUUCCUAACACAAGUGACAAAAAAUUGAAUGAUUGAUAACCGUGGUCUCAAAUUUGAAUCCUACAUAAUUCAUAUUUUCAACUAGCUAAAUUUAUUUUUAAACAAAAUAAAUAAAACGAAUAGUAUGCGAUCUUCCUCUUAAAAUUUUUAAAAAAACUCUGCUAAAAAUAUAAAAUUAAUUAAUUAAACAUGAACUAUA